UACGGAGGGUGCAAGCGUUGCUCGGAAUUAUUGGGCGUAAAGGGUAGGUAGGUGGUCUCGUUUGUCUGGGGUGAAAGCCUUGAGCUUAACUCAAGAAGUGCCCCAGAAACGGCGAGACUAGAGUUCUGGAGAGGGUCGUGGAAUUCCCGGUGUAGCGGUGAAAUGCGUAGAUAUCGAGAGGAACACCUGCGGCGAAGGCGGGUUGCUGGGCUGACACUGACGCUGACAGCGCGAAAGCUAGGGGAGCGAACAGG
rnacentral:rRNA from 1 species